UACGUAGGGGGCGAGCGUUGUCCGGAGUUACUGGGCGUAAAGCGCACGCAGGCGGUCUGCUAAGUUUGGAGUGACAGUUGGUGGCUUAACUGCCAAAGUGCUUCGAAAACUGACAGACUUGAGGGCUUCAGAGGGACACGGAAUUCCGGGUGGAGUGGUGAAAUGCGUAGAGAUCGGAAGGAACACCAACGGCGAAAGCACUCUGCUGGGCCGACACUGACACUGAGAGACGAAAGCUAGGGGAGCGAAUGGG
rnacentral:rRNA from 1 species